rnacentral:lncRNA from 1 species
GGACGGAAGGGUUGCGGAGGAGGUGUACGUGGCAGCCGGAGGCUCCGUGCUCCGCUCGCCCCGCAGGUGGCCUCGCUGGCAAGCGUGGAACUACACUCACCCAGAUGAUGAGGCUGUCACACAGCGGCAGCUCGGACUGUGGCAGCGGCUGCGGGUCCUCCAUGGUCCGAGAACCUCGACGCCGCGCUCACAGCGACGGACGCGCCUCCGACCGGGCCCGCGUCAACGACCUCCGCGCCCGCCACUGGAGCUCGGCGGCCAGGCCUGGCGCCCGCGCCACUCACGCGCGAAGCCUCACGGCGCAGACGUCGCGGCGCGACCGCCCCCUCGCCCACCGCGUCUGUCCCGCGUCCCGGCACCUGAGCCGGCCCCGCCCGCCGAUCGCACACCGCACGCUGAGUGACCUCUGCGAGCACCAGUCACAAAGAAGCUGGGCACCAGCGAGGCCGGCAGGGCGGGAGGAGCGGGAAUAGGUCGCACAGGAGGGCUGCUGAUUGGACGCGCUCCAGAGACUCUUGGCCAAUCAAGGAGGAAGGAGAGCGCGCCUGCGCGAGCUAGAGUGGCCAAAGGUAGUGGAGGGCUCAGAGGCCAACCUUCCAUUUCUCCUGGUUAGCACUAGUACAGACCCACUCUCAGCCUCCAGCCUCUUCUCAUUCCCCACCACAGUGCUCAGGAAUUGAAACCCCCAAAGCAAGAGGAACCACGUGACCAAGAAACGUGUUUCCUAAGGAAAAAACAGACCUCCAUGCUGCCUAAGUCAAAGAAGCCCUCACAGAAUCACAGGUCACGUUCUGCUCAUAGGAACUCUUGCUAUCUCCACUUGCGCGUCUCCAUUAGCAGUGAUGCUUCUAUACUUUUGGAGAUGGAUUGCACAAGGAACUUUUCCUGGCCUCGUCCUGAAGUCAGCCAUUUCUCCAAGGAGUCCACUUUCCAUGCUGUUGAGAUUGGUACUAAGUAAGACUGGAUUUCUCAAUAUCUACUUCAUUACUAUAAUCCUAUUACUUGGAAUAUGGAUUUUAAUCAGUGUUAAGAUAGAGAUGUUCUUGUAAAAACUAAAAUACUUAACAUAGUAAUUUAUUCAAAGUUGUGGAAAUACUUCUAUGCCUGCUGAAUUUGUAGGAAUAAGAAGCUGAAAGAAUGAGAGUUGGCAAGAAAGAAGUAAGAGGUUCCUUGGAUGAAGAAAUAAAGCUAAUAGCAAAUUUUUUGACAAGUAUCAUCACCACAGAAUUAAAAUUGUAAAACAGCCUUAUUUUUCACAUGGAAAAAUCCCCAUAUGCCUCUGUUUCUCUGUUAUCACAGUCAUUAUUGUUUAUUUAUUUAUUCUUGAGUGUGACUAGAAUAUUGUGAUGUGUGUGUGGAUCGAAGACAAAGUGCAACUCAAGAGAAUCAGUUCUCUUCUACCAUGUGGGUCCCAGAGACUAAACUGAGGAUCCCAAGCUCCAUUACCCACUGAGGUAGCUCAUCAGCCCCCUACAUAAUUUUAAGCCACCCACAGAGACAAUGAUAAGGUCAAAUCACUGAGUUUUGAGGUCAGAAAACUGUGGUAAUGCUGCUCCACUUCAAACUUUUGUUAUAACCUUUAUAUAGAACGGCCUUCACAGGCAUGACCCUUUGAUUGAAAGUAAGGUUCAAAUGUUCUCCAUACUGCUCUGGAAUUUAUAGGAGGCAGUUUUCUAUUUCAUUUAUAUUUAGUGUUGUUUUAUUAAAGCAGAAAAAUAUCUCAAACACAGUCCUAAUGGCCCAAGUGCAUGCUGUGUGUUCUCAACUUGGAAACAAUGUUAUAACUGCACAAUGGUAGUUCCAGAUUAAUGCUUGACUUGAAAAGAAAGUUUGAAGAAAUUAUUAGAAAAUUAAAUAGAGCCAACAUUGGAAACACAAGAAAGAAAAAAAAAACUAUUGAAAUUAUGAAAUAAGUUUUGCACAACAUUUGAGAGUGGUUCCUGGGUAAGUAAGUAUAGAAUAUGUAAAAUCUUAUGUAACACUGGGACUCUUAGGAGUGUCACUGUGUGCAAUGUGCAAAAGCAGAAAGCUAGCAGAACUAUUGAGUUAAGGGUUAACUUGAUUCUUUCUGGCCAGUGCCUGGCAGCUUUGCCCAUGUCAUUUAUCAUUAGAGCUUCACAAGAAAAUGCAAGUAGCUCUGAGCUCUGAGGUAUAAGAAGUCAAAGUUAAAGUUUAAAUAAUGAUAAGUUUGCAAUUAUUAUUAUUUUGGCUAUAGGCCUGGAAAUAGGGAACCUUGAAACUUUUGGGAACAAUUGCAAUUCUUGAUUCUUUGUGAGGUGUGGUUAUUAUUUUGAAUUUGAUUUGGCAGUAAUUGUACAAUGUCUUUUUCUACCUGAUUUUGGAGUAGUAAUAAAAGACUGGGGCAAGAGAAUGGCAAGGGAGCGGGUAGAGAGCAUGUAGAGAGCAGGUGAGGAGUAUGUUGUGGAUAGCCCUGGGGCUAAUUAUAUUUGAUGUUAAUUCCAUUCUCCUGUGAGUGGUUUCGAACAAGGAAUGAGUCAGCUAGGAAGAGGAAGAAGGAGAAAAGUGGAGCAGAAGCACAUGGCCUGGAGAAGCUGCAAGUUCUAAGGGGUCUCAUAAGCUGUGGAACAUGGUAGUGUAGCAGUAGAUCUGCCCAAUUUAGGCGCACAGCAUGUAAUCAUAUGAACUGUGUUGUGUUUUCAUUGCCGGGGCAUAUUUGGGAGGAGGUGAAUGUGGAGAGUGAACAAAGAGUAAGAGAGAGAGAAUGAGAAGAGUAUGUGGAGAGUGAGUGAAGAAUGUGAAGAGUGAGUGAAGAGAGAAUGUGAGGAGUAUGUGUGUGUGAGUGAAAGUAGAGUGCAUGUGUGAGAGAGAGAGUGAAAGAAGAACACACAGAGGUGUGUGUGAGCAUGAGAGUUCAAGAAAAGAAAAGUGCAUAGGAGAAAAGCAGAGAGCACAAGAGAAUGCAGAGUAUGUGCAGCCUCAAGCUGCUAGCGAAUGAGCAAGAGAGAAAGCAGAGAAUGAGAGAGAAACUUUAAGCCUUGAAAAAUUGCCUGUCAGCUUGUAUAUUAAAAAAAAGUAGUUUAUGUAUAUUUAUUAUGUGCCUUCCAGACAUCCCUGCUUCCAGUUGAGAACUCUGAUCCUGUAUCGAGGCUGUACCCCGACAUAUAAUGGAAGUCAGCAUAAUUAGAUCAAAGUAGAGAGGUACCUUUAAGCUCCAGAUAAUCAGGUGCCCUGGUGAUGCAAGAGGUGCUGUAUUAGGGAGAAGUCUGGCUGAAGUCUUUCUUCAAUGAUAUCUUUUCCAAGAAGGAUCUUAUGAAAAGGUGCUGAUCAGAGAAGCAGAGAGGCUCCUGAGAAGACUCUGCCUUUGUUACUUCCUCCAAGCUGGGAAACGUUCCCAGGGCAUUGCCCCUUCUGCCUGUGCUGUGCUGGCAUUGCUUCUUCAGGGACCUGAGACAACAUUCCAGGAUUGCCUUCAUGGUGGGAUCCAGGAAGCUCGCUGAAGGUCCUUAUGCUGUUUUCCUUCCCACAGCAACAGAUGUUCAGCAAAUGGCAGACACCAGGGAAUUCUCUGUUCUUUUCUUCACAUUACCUCUGCUUGACUUCAAAACAAGUUACUGAGAAACAAGUAUACAAGAUGGAGAUUUCAAGGAUUUAAAAUGGGCUGAUUUUGUUUCUGAGAAAGGGCCGACAACUUAAAACUUAAAGCUGAGGUCAGGUACCCAGCCUACUGAGAAUCUUGCUGAUUCGUCCCCGAAGCCUGCUUUGCUCACACAGCAGCUCAUGCUUCCGUCUAGCCAGUAUUUAUGACAUGGUGUCAUGCUUUUAUGCUAACAUAUCUGUCUCCCAACUAGACUGUGAACUCCUUCAGGAAGGAAUUGUUAAAAUUAUUUUCACUGCCAAACUCAGCAUCUGGCAUACGCCAUGCAUGCAGGAAUGUCGGCAGAUUGAAUGAACUUAAGGAUAAUAUGCGUGACAAGAUGUGAAAAUAGAAGUUUCUGCUAAGAUCUAAGAUGACAGAUAUGAUACCAGAGUGAGCUGGAAAUAGCCUACCUUGGAGUUUGUGGGAUGGUAACUCAGACCCAUGAGUCACCUCUAUGCCUUCCACUGGGAUGGCAGGUCAGAGAUAGUCUUCUCAGAGAAGACUAAUUUACUGUGUUGAGGACCUCUUCCAGGGUGAGCUAUGAGGGAGGCCUCACCCUCACCCUUCAAGCCAACAGGACUUCCUAGGUGUCUGGCACUGAGACUAGAGCAUAUAGUGGAUUACAAAUGGUUUAUGCUAGAAAGGAAGCCGCUCAUAUCAGACUCUGUGUAGAGAAAAGAGAAGUCUUGCUUUCAGGCCCUGAAAGGCAUGGUCAUUCUUUACCAACUUAGCAGGCAGAGCUAUAAAUAAACCAUGAAAGUUCACAUUUGAUUGUCACUUCUGAAAGCAAGCGCAUGGCUUCUGUAGGAAAAAAUGGGGUCCCUGUAGCUAGCCAUGAAAGACCUCAUUCAUAGACUUGACCCUUCCCUGGUGUGUCAAGGCUGAGAUACCAGUCAGCCCUCUGCUCCUGCUUCUUCGGAGACAGUACUCGAAGUGGCCAGGCCUCCUGUGGGCAGAGGAAACACUCGGUUGUCAUGUGCUAUGGACUAGCUGUGGAGUACUGUUGGGUAGGCUGUCAGGGAAGUGAGACUACAUGAAGAAGGCGAUAAUCAUCACAAGAGUGGCAUAGACUGCUGCUGGCAAUCUGGGGAUGAGGAGACCUCUACUUCCUCUCCUUUGGAGAUCCAUGCCCUUACGACUUGGGGAAGACUGUCAGGUAGUCGCGAUCUCAGCAUGGAGCAGCAGACAAAGCCUAGAACUGUCUAGAAUUACUGAAUACAGAAAAAAAAAUCAAGACCACCCAGUGUUGGUGAAAGACAGCCCCUAGAAGGUAUGAAGCAUGACCCCAGAGCUCCAACUAAACACAAUCCCAGCAUCCAUCACUGGUUAGGCUGGCACUUGCUCACCCCAAAGCACUAAAAGCAACAUCAACUGAGAAGCAGGAAGAGAUGAAGGACUGGGAUGUCUUCAUCAUCCACCACACUGUGAAGACCAGCGUUCCAGUCAGCAUUCUGAAUGCACUCUGUCUAUCAUGGACAUCCAUACAUAUGCUUAAUUACACAGAUCUCUGCAAUAUCCUCCAUCAGUUGAAAAAAGAAGCUUUUUUGACGAAGGUAAGAGAUACAAUUAUCUCUGUGUUUAAUAUUCACUUAUUUUACUGUUCUAGAUAAGACUUCAAGCACUAUAUUAGGUAGGAGUGAAUAAAUUGGAAAAUCAUUGUCUUGUUCUUGAUUUUAAUGGAAAUGCUUUGAGUUUAGCAUGGUGUUGGCUAUGGGUUUGUUGUACAUUGCCUUUAUCAUGUUGAGAUAUGUUCCCUGUAUCCUUAAAUACUCCAGAUCUUUUAUCACAAA